rnacentral:rRNA from 1 species
UGAAAACUUAAAACUUAAAAGACUUGACGGUACUUCACACCAACCUAGAGGAGCCUGUCUCAUAACCGAUAACCCACGAUUAACCCAACCUUUUCUAGCCUAACAGUCUAUAUACCGCCGUCGCCAGCUUACCUUGUGAAAGAAACCUAAGUAAGCCAAAUAGCAUUAACCUAGUACGACAGGUCGAGGUGUAAUUUAUGAAAAGGACAAAGAUGGGCUACAUUUUCUAAUCCAGAACAAACGAACAUACCAUGAAAAUAGAAACUGAAGGCGGAUUUAGUAGUAAGAUAAGAACAACAUACUUAACCGAAACUACUGC